AACGAUCCUUCCGUAGGUGAACCUGCGGAAGGAUCAUUA
rnacentral:rRNA from 1 species